AUGUAGGGCAAUCUGUCUUUAAGUAGGGAUAAAUUACUCUAAAACAAAAAAAGAAUCCUAGAUAGUUUUCCCUUCAAGUCAAGUGUCUUGU
rnacentral:pre_miRNA from 1 species